rnacentral:lncRNA from 1 species
UUCAGUGCUCCCAGUGAAGAUACAUUUCACUCACCCUCCACCCCUGCUAUGCUGUCAUGUCUUUCCCUCUGCGUAGCCAACACAUGAUUUGAAGUGACUGAUACCCAACCCAAACUUUGCUGUUCAGAAUCUUCAAUUCUUCAUAUUCUGAUGGGAAAGUAAAGUGGCGGAGAGGUGGAGGCUGGAGACUAACAUUUGUGAGAUUCGUGAGAUUCUUACUACAAAUGUAUCAUCUCAUUUCUUCCACUGAAUAACUACAAGUAUGCAAAAUAGGUUCUCUUUG